rnacentral:rRNA from 1 species
GACGAACGCUGGCGGCGUGCUUAACACAUGCAAGUCGAACGGAAAGGCCCUGCUUUUGUGGGGUGCUCGAGUGGCGAACGGGUGAGUAACACGUGAGUAACCUGCCCUUGACUUUGGGAUAACUUCAGGAAACUGGGGCUAAUACCGGAUAGGAGCUCCUGCUGCAUGGUGGGGGUUGGAAAGUUUCGGCGGUUGGGGAUGGACUCGCGGCUUAUCAGCUUGUUGAUGGUGUAGUGGCUUACCAAGGCUUUGACGGGUAGCCGGCCUGAGAGGGUGACCGGCCACAUUGGGACUGAGAUACGGCCCAGACUCCUACGGGAGGCAGCAGUGGGGAAUAUUGCACAAUGGGCGGAGGCCUGAUGCAGCAACGCCGCGUGCGGGAUGACGGCCUUCGGGUUGUAAACCGCUUUCGCCUGUGACGAAGCGUGAGUGACGGUAAUGGGUAAAGAAGCACCGGCUAACUACGUG